rnacentral:rRNA from 1 species
AUAGCCAUAAACAUAAGUAGUUCAUAACAUUACUACUCGCCAGAGAACUACAAGCCACCGCUUAAAACUCAAAGGACUUGGCGGUGCUUUAUAUCCAUCUAGAGGAGCCUGUUCCAUAACCGAUGAUCCCCGAUUUACCUCACCACUCCUUGCUAAUUCAGCCUAUAUACCGCCAUCUUCAGCUAACCCUAAAAAGGAAAUAAAGUAAGCCAAAUGAGUAAUUACUAAAGAAGUUAGGUCAAGGUGUAGCCUAUGGAGUGGAGCGAAAUGGGCUACAUUUUCUAUUACUAGAACAUUACGAAACCCUACGUGAAAUCCGUAGGAUAAAGGAGGAUUUAGUAGUAAAUUAAAACUAGAGUGUUUAAUUGAAUAGAGCAAUGAAGCACG